AGCACAGCAUGUUUCCGUUUCACAAACUUAUCCCUUAGGAAGGAUGUGCUAGUGCAGAUGACAUCCACCUGCCAGAGUGGAUCAAGGAAAUCGAGGCUUGGUAGAGAUUAUCUGAGUAUCCAGGAAGACCACAGAAGGAAGGAGCCAAGGUCCCUAGAACACUGCACAGAGAAGAGAAGCUGCUGCCUAGGAGCGCCAUUUGGAAUUUGCGUGAAUGGGAAAUAAACGUCUCUCGUGUG